CUCGUAGCGGUGAGAGAGUGAGCAGCUCUAAUACUUUGGUUUCUUUUUUCUUAUUACAUCACGUCAUUUACUUCCUUUUUUCUUCCCCCCCUUCUUACUGUUUUACCUCACAGGCUCCGCAGACGUCCUGAAGGUCCCUGAAAGCUGAAUGUGCUGUUUACUAAUCUGCUUGGGCUAGUAGAUUAGUUUGCCCUUUGAGAGAAUACAAAGGAUGAAUAUCUGCAGUAUGGUGUCCUAGCUUUGUUUUUAUUUGCCCUGCGGAGCAGUUGGGCAAACCCUCCCCAGCAUCGUCUUUCCUGGCUUGUAAGAAGAGAGAGUCAUGUAAAUAUGGCAGUGGAAAACAGAGAGAUGGCAAUUACCUGGAGGCAAGCGACAAAGCGCAGGUUGGGCCGGUGCAGCUGGUUUGUCUCACACAGCGCCAGCCGGUCCUGAUGGUGGUCCCAGGCACAGCUCCUUUUGUCAUUUCUUCAUUCCAGCCCAGGAACCUGUCAUCUCCUCUGAAGGCAGGCGUGGUUUGUGCCACCGAGAGCUAGUAGUGCCUUGGAAAUGUUACCGGUUCCUGGCUGUAGGCGUACAGAGCUGUAAAUGGCCUACAAGUUUGUGAGUGCUGUAUGUGAAUUUUCGCUUUGAGAAGUGAAAAUGUUUUGUUGCUCGUUCAGCAGGAUCUGUCAGACAAAAUCUUGUGGCACCUGCCAUUGAAAUCAAGGGCAAAGCUGUGCCUGGAUUGAAAGCCUUGGGACUGAGCUGUCAGGUCCCUGUUGUGUAAAAAAAUAAAUAAAUAGA
rnacentral:lncRNA from 1 species